rnacentral:rRNA from 1 species
GAUGAACGCUGGCGGCGUGCUUAACACAUGCAAGUCGAACGAUGAAGCCCAGCUUUCUGGGUGGAUUAGUGGCGAACGGGCGAGUAACACGUGAGUAACCUGCCCUUAACUCUGGGAUAAGCCUGGGCAACUGGGUCUAAUACCGGCCAGGAGCGUUCACCGCAUGGUGGGUGUUGGAAAGAUUUAUCGGUUUUGGCUGGACUCGCGGCCUAUCAGCUUGUUGGUGAGGUAAUGGCUCACCAAGGCGACGACGGGUAGCCGGCCUGAGAGGGUGACCGGCCACACGGGGACUGAGACACGGCCCAGACUCCUACGGGAGGCAGCAGUGGGGAAUAUUGCACAAUGGGCGAAAGCCUGAUGCAGCGACGCCGCGUGAGGGAUGACGGCCUUCGGGUUGUAAACCUCUUUCAGUAGGGAAGAAGCGAAAGUGACGGUACCUGCAGAAGAAGCACCGGCUAACUACGUG